rnacentral:rRNA from 1 species
AUUGAACGCUGGCGGCAGGCCUAACACAUGCAAGUCGAGCGAGCGGCGGACGGGUGAGUAAUGUCUGGGAAACUGCCUGAUGGACGGGGAUAACUACUGGAAACGUUAGCUACUACCGCAUACCUUCCGAUGUGCCCAGAUGGGAUUAUCUAGUAGGUGGGGUAAAGGCUCACCUAGGCGACGAUCCCUAGCUGGUCUGAGAGGAUGACCAGCCAAACUGGAACUGAGACACGGUCCAGACUCCUACGGGAGGCAGCAGUGGGGAAUAUUGCACAAUGGGCGCAAGCCUGAUGCAGCCAUGCCGCGUGUAUGAAGAAGGCCUUCGGGUUGUAAAGUACUUUCAGCUGGGAGGCGUUACUCGCAGAAGAAGCACCGGCUAACUCCGUGCCAGCAGCCGCGGUAAUAC